AGCGAACGCUGGCGGCAGGCCUAACACAUGCAAGUCGAACGGAUCCUUCGGGAUUAGUGGCGGACGGGUGAGUAACACGUGGGAACGUGCCCUUUGGUUCGGAACAACUCAGGGAAACUUGAGCUAAUACCGGAUGUGCCCUUCGGGGGAAAGAUUUAUCGCCAUUGAAGCGGCCCGCGUCUGAUUAGCUAGUUGGUGAGGUAACGGCCCACCAAGGCGACGAUCAGUAGCUGGUCUGAGAGGAUGAUCAGCCACACUGGGACUGAGACACGGCCCAGACUCCUACGGGAGGCAGCAGUGGGGAAUCUUGCGCAAUGGGCGAAGGCCUGACGCAGCCAUGCCGCGUGAAUGAUGAAGGUCUUAGGAUUGUAAAAUUCUUUCAGCGGGGACGAUAAUGACGGUACCCGCAGAAGAAGCUCCGGCUAACUUCGUG
rnacentral:rRNA from 1 species